UUCUAGGAUCUGUACUUGUGUAAAG
rnacentral:piRNA from 1 species